AGCGAACGCUGGCGGCAGGCCUAACACAUGCAAGUCGAACGACGCCUUCGGGCUUAGUGGCGGACGGGUGAGUAACACGUGGGAACGUACCUUUUGGCUCUGAACAACUCAGGGAAACUUGUGCUAAUACCGGAUGAGCCCUUCGGGGGAAGGAUUUAUCGCCGAAAGAGCGGCCCGCGUUAAAUUAGCUAGUUGGUGAGGUAAAGGCUCACAAAGGCUACGAGCUAUAGCUGGUCUGAGAGGAUGAUCAGCCACACUGGGACUGAGACACGGCCCAGACUCCUACGGGAGGCAGCAGUGGGGAAUGUUGCGAAAUGGGCGAAAGCCUGACGCAGCCAUGCCGCGUGAAUGAUGAAGGUCUUAGGAUUGUAAAAUUCUUUUACCAGGGACGAUAAUGACGGUACCUGGAGAGAAAGCCCCGGCUAACUUCGUGCCAGCAGCCGCGGUAAGAC
rnacentral:rRNA from 1 species